GGAGGACCCUUGGCACACGGAGCGACAGGGGCCUCCCCCACAGACACCUCAUUUUGGGAAAGAAGAAUAACUGGAAAUUUUAAGAAGUUACUAUCUCUGCUAUGGGGAUGGAUAGUCAGACAGCAAUGUUCACAAAUUACUCUUGAAACUUGAUGCAAACAACCUGUUUAAAAACUGAUGUAACGAGAGGAAUUUCAUGGAUGCAAAUGAACACCUGUGAAAAUUCUUCGGCAAGAACUGUUUCAUUUAGCAACACCAGGCUGUACAGGAGGCAUGGCUGGGGAGGCCUCAGAAAACUUACAAUCAUGGCAGAAGGUGAAGGGGAAGCCAGCACAUCUUCAUAUGAUGGCAGGAACUUUAUAUGUUAUAGAAGUUAGCCCCAAGAAUGAAAUCGUGUCCUUUGCCAAAACAUGGAUGGAGCUAGAGGCCUUUAUCCUAAGUGAGUUAACGCAGGAACAGAAAGCCAAAUAGUGCAUGUUCUCACUGAUAAGUGGGAGCUAAACUAUGGGUUCACAAAGGCAUGCAGAGUGGUACUGUGGACAUUGGAGACUCAGAAUGGGGGAGGCUAGGAGGGAGGUAAGGGAUGAAAAAGUACCUGUUGGGUACAAUGUACACUACUUGGGUGACGAUGGGUCCACUAAAAUCCCAGAUUUAACCACUGUACAAUUCAUCCAUGUAACCAAAACCCACCUGUACCCCAAUGCUAUGAAAAUAAAUAAAACCAAAUUA
rnacentral:lncRNA from 1 species